rnacentral:rRNA from 1 species
CGCGUAGGAAUCUACCUAGUAGUGGGGGAUAGCCCAGAGAAAUUUGGAUUAAUACCGCAUACGCCCUACGGGGAAAGGAGGGGCGUCUUCGGACCUUUCGCUAUUAGAUGAGCCUGCGUAAGAUUAGCUAGAUGGUGGGGUAAUGGCCUACCAUGGCGACGAUCUUUAGCUGGUUUGAGAGGAUGAUCAGCCACACUGGGACUGAGACACGGCCCAGACUCCUACGGGAGGCAGCAGUGAGGAAUUUUCCGCAAUGGGCGAAAGCCUGACGGAGCAAUACCGCGUGAAGGAUUAAGGCCU